rnacentral:tRNA from 1 species
GGGAGUCUGGUGGAAUGGAAAACACAGAGCCCUCAAAAAGCUCCGACCUUAGUGUCAUUACGGGUUCGACUCCCGUGGCUCCUACCA